GAUGAACGCUGGCGGCGUGCCUAACACAUGCAUGUCGAGCGAUUCUCUUCGGAGAAGAGCGGCGGACGGGUGAGUAACGCGGGGUAACCUGCCCUGUACACACGGAUAACAUACCGAAAGGUAUGCUAAUACGAGAUAAUAUGCUUUUAUCGCAUGGUAGAAGUAUCAAAGCUUUUGCGGUACAGGAUGGACCCGCGUCUGAUUAGCUAGUUGGUAAGGUAACGGCUUACCAAGGCGACGAUCAGUAGCCGACCUGAGAGGGUGAUCGGCCACAUUGGAACUGAGGCACGGUCCAAACUCCUACGGGAGGCAGCAGUGGGGAAUAUUGCACAAUGGGCGAAAGCCUGAUGCAGCAACGCCGCGUGAGCGAUGAAGGCCUUCGGGUCGUAAAGCUCUGUCCUCAAGGAAGAUAAUGACGGUACUUGAGGAGGAAGCCCCGGCUAACUACGUGCCAGCCGCCGCGGUAA
rnacentral:rRNA from 1 species